GACGAACGCUGGCGGCGUGCUUAACACAUGCAAGUCGAACGGAAAGGCCCUGCUUUUGUGGGGUGCUCGAGUGGCGAACGGGUGAGUAACACGUGAGUAACCUGCCCUUUACUUUGGGAUAACUUCAGGAAACUGGGGCUAAUACCGGAUAGUAGCUCCUGCUGCAUGGUGGGGGUUGGAAAGUUUCGGCGGUUGGGGAUGGACUCGCGGCUUAUCAGCUUGUUGGUGGGGUAGUGGCUUACCAAGGCUUUGACGGGUAGCCGGCCUGAGAGGGUGACCGGCCACAGUGGGACGGAGAUACGGCCCAGACUCCUACGGGAGGCAGCAGUGGGGAAUAUUGCACAAUGGGCGGAAGCCUGAUGCAGCAACGCCGCGUGCGGGAUGACGGCCUUCGGGUUGUAAACCGCUUUCGCCUGUGACGAAGCGUGAGUGACGGUAAUUGGUAAAGAAGCACCGGCUAACUACGUG
rnacentral:rRNA from 1 species